AUGCUCCAAUGAUUGCUCCGUGGAGCUUAUAACUUGGAUGUUAAUGGAUACUUCUUGGAUUAUAAAGAGGAUGUCCUUUUUGGGUUCCAGUGCAAUAGCAAAAGCCCAAAAUAUUCAUGAAAAUGGUCAAGAUGCUGAGCCCAUUUCUGGAUUCCAGCCCAAGAUCCUUUCAAAUUUUGGGCUAGCUGUUCCCAAACGGAUGAACCAGACUGAGAAUCUGGGAAUCGGAUGCUCAUUCUAGACAUGGGUUAUGUCGGACAGUUCUUUGCUCAGGAGCUCCUGAAUGAAGGCUGGAUUGUCUCUGGGACUUGCACAAGCAGCAAGAAGAGAACGGAGCUUGAGAAAAGAGGAUUUGGUGGUCACCUUUUUGAUGCGAAUCAGCCACAGUAAGGUGCUUAUGUCUGGCUGGCAAUUGACAAGAAAAACACUUUGGACGGCAACAAGUAACAUCAAAGCCUUCUUGUGUUUUAUUGGUUGCUGAGUACCGAACGGAUUUUAGCCUUUUAAUGGUAAUGAUGAUUGAAGUCCAAUUACAUGGAUAUGAUUUUACGAACUUUUGUAAAUUCAACGGUAGAUGAUGAUCAGAUCACCUACACGAUGUUAGUUAGUAUGUAUGUCGAGUAUUACAAUUUUAAAGCAGAAUCAUGAAUUCCACGUCAAUUGAGCAUCUAAACAACACCACAAAUUUUAAAUAAUGGGAUUUUAUGAGCUAAAUUUAGCACAUCAAGUGCUCACCUUCAUGCAA